rnacentral:rRNA from 1 species
GGGGUCGCUUCUAAUCCCCGGUCCCUGGGACCGAUUCGACCAUUUGACCUCAAAUCAGGUAGGACUACCCGCUGAACUUAAGCAUAUCAAUAAGCGGAGGAAAAGAAACUACCCAGGAUUCCCCUAGUAACGGCGAGUGAAGCGGGAAGAGCUCAAAUUUGUAAUCUGGCGGCCCUUGGUCGUCCGAGUUGUAGUCUGGAGAAGCGUCUUCCGCGCCGGACCGUGUACAAGUCCCUUGGAACAGGGCGUCGCAGAGGGUGAGAAUCCCGUCUUUGACACGGAUCGCCGGUGCCUUGUGAUGCGCUCUCGAAGAGUCGAGUUGUUUGGGAAUGCAGCUCAAAUCGGGUGGUAAAUUCCAUCUAAAGCUAAAUAUGGGCGAAAGACCGAUAGCGAACAAGUACCGUGAGGGAAAGAUGAAAAGCACUUUGGAAAGAGAGUUAAACAGUACGUGAAAUUGUUGAAAGGGAAACGCUUGAAGUCAGUCGCGUCUCCCGGGAUUCAGCCUCGGCUUCGGCCGGGGCGUACUUCCCGGGGCGACGGGCCAGCAUCGAUUUCGACCGUCGGAGAAGGGCUCCGGGAACGUGGCACCCUUUUUGGGUGUGUUAUAGCCCGGGGUCGCAUGCGACGGUUGGGAUCGAGGACCGCAGUACGCCGUUAAUUGGUCGGGGUUCGCCCACGUAACGUGCUUAGGAUGCUGGCGUAAUGGCUUUAAGCGACCCGUCUUGAAACACGGACCAAGGAGUCUAACAUGCCUGCGAGUGUUUGGGUGGAAAACCCGGACGCGAAAUGAAAGUGAAAGGUCGGGACCCCUGUCGUGGGGGGCACCGACGCCCGGGCCAGACCUUUUGUGACGGUUCCGAGGUAGAGCAUGCAUGCUGGGACCCGAAAGAUGGUGAACUAUGCCUGAGUAGGGUGAAGCCAGAGGAAACUCUGGUGGAGGCUCGUAGCGAUUCUGACGUGCAAAUCGAUCGUCGAACUUGGGUAUAGGGGCGAAAGACUAAUCGAAC